rnacentral:rRNA from 1 species
ACUUAAAUUGAAGAGUUUGAUCAUGGCUCAGAUUGAACGCUGGCGGCAGGCCUAACACAUGCAAGUCGAGCGGUAGCACAGAGAGCUUGCUCUCGGGUGACGAGCGGCGGACGGGUGAGUAAUGUCUGGGAAACUGCCUGAUGGAGGGGGAUAACUACUGGAAACGGUAGCUAAUACCGCAUAACGUCGCAAGACCAAAGUGGGGGACCUUCGGGCCUCAUGCCAUCAGAUGUGCCCAGAUGGGAUUAGCUAGUAGGUGGGGUAACGGCUCACCUAGGCGACGAUCCCUAGCUGGUCUGAGAGGAUGACCAGCCACACUGGAACUGAGACACGGUCCAGACUCCUACGGGAGGCAGCAGUGGGGAAUAUUGCACAAUGGGCGCAAGCCUGAUGCAGCCAUGCCGCGUGUGUGAAGAAGGCCUUCGGGUUGUAAAGCACUUUCAGCGGGGAGGAAGGCGGUGAGGUUAAUAACCUCAUCGAUUGACGUUACCCGCAGAAGAAGCACCGGCUAACUCCGUGCCAGCAGCC